AGAGUUUGAUCCUGGCUCAGAACGAACGCUGGCGGCAUGCCUAACACAUGCAAGUCGAACGAGACCUUCGGGUCUAGUGGCGCACGGGUGCGUAACGCGUGGGAAUCUGCCCUUGGGUUCGGAAUAACAGUUAGAAAUGACUGCUAAUACCGGAUGAUGUCUUCGGACCAAAGAUUUAUCGCCCAGGGAUGAGCCCGCGUCGGAUUAGCUAGUUGGUGAGGUAAAGGCUCACCAAGGCGACGAUCCGUAGCUGGUCUGAGAGGAUGAUCAGCCACACUGGGACUGAGACACGGCCCAGACUCCUACGGGAGGCAGCAGUGGGGAAUAUUGGACAAUGGGCGAAAGCCUGAUCCAGCAAUGCCGCGUGAGUGAUGAAGGCCUUAGGGUUGUAAAGCUCUUUUACCCGGGAUGAUAAUGACAGUACCGGGAGAAUAAGCCCCGGCUAACUCCGUGCCAGCAGCCGCGGUAAUACGGAGGGGGCUAGCGUUGUUCGGAAUUACUGGGCGUAAAGCGCGCGUAGGCGGCUUUGUAAGUUAGAGGUGAAAGCCCGGAGCUCAACUCCGGAACUGCCUUUAAGACUGCAUCGCUAGAACGAUGGAGAGGUGAGUGGAAUUCCGAGUGUAGAGGUGAAAUUCGUAGAUAUUCGGAAGAACACCAGUGGCGAAGG
rnacentral:rRNA from 1 species